AGCCUGACAGCACUACUGGCAUUUUAAAAACAACUUUAAACAAAGCAGAGGAAGAUGGGAUUUUUAAUACUUGGAAUUAGGUCCUUUACUUGCAGUAAAAUGCAGAAAAACUAAAUAGAAUAUAAGUUCAUGUGGAUUCAUGUGAGUAACUGGCUUCAACAGGGAAGAGAAUAUUUAGUCAAUUAAAAAAAUCCAGAGAAAAAAUGGAAAUGAUUGCUGUGAUUGGCAGGAGGAACUACUAUCUGAUAUUAGUUGUUUUUAUUCCUUUUGAGUUCCUGUGCUUUAUUUCUGGGAUACUGUUAAGAAAAAGAAAAAGGAAGUUGGCAAGAUACCAAAUAUUUCAUACUAACCAGCAGCUUAAAAUGGUUGCUUUCAAUAAUUUUGAAGAGUUAAAUGGUGUGAUGUUUUCAUUUUAUGUAGGAAGGAAGGGAUUGCUAUGAACAAAGCAUGUUGUGCCUCUGAGGAAUUGUGAGGCUCAAGCAUGUACCAAAACAAGGCCACAUUUCCCCCUGGCCUGGUAAAUCAUUCAGCCCAUUCACUUGGACAAAGUACUUAAUCCAGAGUGAGACCAUGCAAGCAAGGACAAUUAUAAUUCUUCCCUGAAAUGAAUACAGCAUAAGGAAGUUGGAAGAGAGUAACUCUCUUUACUGUUGGGUUGCCAAGCCUGGAAGAUGUCAAGUUGGUGCUGCUGGCUGCUAUUUUUCCUGCCAUCUGAGAGAAGGCAUGUCUUCAGUUAAAAAGAAUAAAGCUGAACAGAGAUGAGAGAUAGAGAGCUGAAGGACUAAGGUAUUGGUUCCUAGAACCCUCCAUUCUGUUCUGUGAAUUAUUUCUGUAUCUUUUCUUCCACUAUGGAGCAAUAAAAUUAAACUUUCUUAAGCUGAGUUCUAUUGUGUAUUUUUUUUUAUAACUUGCAACCAGAAAAGUCCUAAUACAGUUCCUGUAACUGUAGAUAAGACAUUACCACCAGCAGCAAAGAGCAGGCAAUAGAUAGAGUAAAAAGAUUCAGCUCCCUACAAUAUGGUAAAGCUAUGAAAAUGAGGCAACAUAUAGGCUCAAGGUGGAAGAAUAUUUUGGAAAUUUAGCAUCCUAAUAUCUUUUGAAAAGCAGUUAAUAUUUGAAUAAUCUAGGUCCACUACAAUCAAUAUUGCAGGUAUUUCCCAAAGCAUGGUCAAAUAUGCCAUAGUUUAUGUGACAGUGUGCUAGCCUAAAAUAGGGGGUAAGAACAGAAAGCAAGAAAAAGGUAAGAAUGUAACAGUCCUGAGUUGGUUAUAAUUUCUUAGGAAUUAUAAGGGGAGGAAAGGAGUUGAGGGAUAUAAGGAUGAAUGACUGUCACAUUUAUCUACCCUUUUAAAAAUAUCUUUGUAAACCUUAUAUAUUAGAUUGCUUAUAGUUGUCUACAGUUUGUUUCUAAAGCAGUAAAGACUAUUAACAGAGGAACUUAAGGCACUGAAGCAUAACAUUGUUACAGAUAUGGUUUGGAUUCGUAUCCCUGCUCAAAUCUCAUGUACAAUUGGAGAAGAGGCCUGGUGGGAGGUGAUGGGAUCAUGGGGGCAGAUUUCCCCCUUGCUGUUCUCGUGAUAGUGAGUUUUCACGAGAUCUGAUCCUUUAAAGGUGUGUGGCACUUCUCCCUUCUCUUUCUCUUCCUCCUGCUCCACCAUGGCAAGACAUGCUUGCUUCCCCUUUGCCUUCCACCAUGAUUGUAAGUUUCCUGAGGCCUCCCAGCCACGCUUCCUGUUCAGCCUGC
rnacentral:lncRNA from 10 species